rnacentral:rRNA from 1 species
GAUGAACGCUGGCGGCGUGCCUAAUACAUGCAAGUCGAGCGAACAGACGAGGAGCUUGCUCCCCUGACGUUAGCGGCGGACGGGUGAGUAACGCGUGGAUAACCUACCUAUAAGACUGGGAUAACUUCGGGAAACCGGAGCUAAUACCGGAUAAUAUAUUGAACCGCAUGGUUCAAUAGUGAAAGACGGUUUUGCUGUCACUUAUAGAUGGAUCCGCGCCGCAUUAGCUAGUUGGUAAGGUAACGGCUUACCAAGGCAACGAUGCGUAGCCGACCUGAGAGGGUGAUCGGCCACACUGGAACUGAGACACGGUCCAGACUCCUACGGGAGGCAGCAGUAGGGAAUCUUCCGCAAUGGGCGAAAGCCUGACGGAGCAACGCCGCGUGAGUGAUGAAGGUCUUCGGAUCGUAAAACUCUGUUAUUAGGGAAGAACAAAUGUGUAAGUAACUAUGCACGUCUUGACGGUACCUAAUCAGAAAGCCACGGCUAACUACGUG